rnacentral:rRNA from 1 species
UCGAAGGUAGCAUAAUCAUUAGUCUUUUAAUUGAAGGCUGGAAUGAAUGGUUGGAUGAAAUAUUAACUGUUUCAUUUAAAAUUUAAAUAGAAUUUUAUUUUUUAGUUAAAAAGCUAAAAUUUUAUUAAAAGACGAGAAGACCCUAUAAAUCUUUAUAUAUGAUUUGUAUUAAUUAUGUUGAUAUUUUUAAUUAUUGUAGAGUAUUAUAUUUUAUUGGGGUGAUAUUAAAAUUUAAAAAACUUUUAAUUUAUAUUUAACAUAAAUUAAUGAAUUUAUGAUCCAUUAUUAAUGAUUAAAAAUUUAAGUUACUUUAGGGAUAACAGCGUAAUUUUUUUGGAGAGUUCAUAUCGAUAAAAAAGAUUGCGACCUCGAUGUUGGAUUAA